rnacentral:rRNA from 1 species
CACUAUCGUUAACUGAAUACAUAGGUUAACGAGGCGAACCGGGGGAACUGAAACAUCUAAGUACCCCGAGGAAAAGAAAUCAACCGAGAUUCCCCCAGUAGCGGCGAGCGAACGGGGAGCAGCCCAGAGUCUGAAUCAGCUUGUGUGUUAGUGGAACGGUCUGGAAAGUCCGACGGUACAGGGUGAUAGUCCCGUACACCAAAAUGCACAGGUUGUGAACUCGAAGAGUAGGGCGGGACACGUGGUAUCCUGUCUGAAUAUGGGGGGACCAUCCUCCAAGGCUAAAUACUCCUGACUGACCGAUAGUGAACCAGUACCGUGAGGGAAAGGCGAAAAGAACCCCGGCGAGGGGAGUGAAAAAGAACCUGAAACCGUGUACGUACAAGCAGUGGGAGCACCUUCGGGUGUGACUGCGUACCUUUUGUAUAAUGGGUCAGCGACUUAUAUUCUGUAGCAAGGUUAACCGUAUAGGGGAGCCGCAGGGAAACCGAGUCUUAACUGGGCGUUAAGUUGCAGGGUAUAGACCCGAAACCCGGUGAUCUAGCCAUGGGCAGGUUGAAGGUUGGGUAACACUAACUGGAGGACCGAACCGACUAAUGUUGAAAAAUUAGCGGAUGACUUGUGGCUGGGGGUGAAAGGCCAAUCAAACCGGGAGAUAGCUGGUUCUCCCCGAAAGCUAUUUAGGUAGCGCCUCGUGAACUCAUCUUCGGGGGUAGAGCACUGUUUCGGCUAGGGGGUCAUCCCGACUUACCAACCCGAUGCAAACUACGAAUACCGAAGAAUGUUAUCACGGGAGACACACGGCGGGUGCUAACGUCCGUCGUGAAGAGGGAAACAACCCAGACCGCCAGCUAAGGUCCCAAAGUCACAGUUAAGUGGGAAACGAUGUGGGAAGGCACAGACAGCCAGGAUGUUGGCUUAGAAGCAGCCAUCAUUUAAAGAAAGCGUAAUAGCUCACUGGUCGAGUCGGCCUGCGCGGAAGAUGUAACGGGGCUAAACUGUGCACCGAAGCUGCGGCAGCGACACUAUGUGUUGUUGGGUAGGGGAGCGUUCUGUAAGCCUGCGAAGGUGGCCUGUGAGGGUUGCUGGAGGUAUCAGAAGUGCGAAUGCUGACAUAAGUAACGAUAAUGCGGGUGAAAAGCCCGCACGCCGGAAGACCAAGGGUUCCUGUCCAACGUUAAUCGGGGCAGGGUGAGUCGACCCCUAAGGCGAGGCCGAAAGGCGUAGUCGAUGGGAAACAGGUUAAUAUUCCUGUACUUGGUGUUACUGCGAAGGGGGGACGGAGAAGGCUAUGUUAGCCGGGCGACGGUUGUCCCGGUUUAAGCAUGUAGGCGGAGGUUCCAGGUAAAUCCGGUACCUUUUAACGCUGAGGUGUGAUGACGAGGCACUACGGUGCUGAAGUAACAAAUGCCCUGCUUCCAGGAAAAGCCUCUAAGCAUCAGGUAACAUUGAAUCGUACCCCAAACCGACACAGGUGGUCAGGUAGAGAAUACCAAGGCGCUUGAGAGAACUCGGGUGAAGGAACUAGGCAAAAUGGUGCCGUAACUUCGGGAGAAGGCACGCUGAUAUGUAGGUGAAGCCCCUGCGGGUGGAGCUGAAAUCAGUCGAAGAUACCAGCUGGCUGCAACUGUUUAUUAAAAACACAGCACUGUGCAAACACGAAAGUGGACGUAUACGGUGUGACGCCUGCCCGGUGCCGGAAGGUUAAUUGAUGGGGUUAUCCGUAAGGAGAAGCUCUUGAUCGAAGCCCCGGUAAACGGCGGCCGUAACUAUAACGGUCCUAAGGUAGCGAAAUUCCUUGUCGGGUAAGUUCCGACCUGCACGAAUGGCGUAAUGAUGGCCAGGCUGUCUCCACCCGAGACUCAGUGAAAUUGAACUCGCUGUGAAGAUGCAGUGUACCCGCGGCAAGACGGAAAGACCCCGUGAACCUUUACUAUAGCUUGACACUGAACAUUGAGCCUUGAUGUGUAGGAUAGGUGGGAGGCUUUGAAGCGUGGACGCCAGUCUGCGUGGAGCCAACCUUGAAAUACCACCCUUUAAUGUUUGAUGUUCUAACGUUGGCCCCUUAUCGGGGUUGCGGACAGUGUCUGGUGGGUAGUUUGACUGGGGCGGUCUCCUCCCAAAGAGUAACGGAGGAGCACGAAGGUUAGCUAAUCCUGGUCGGACAUCAGGAGGUUAGUGCAAUGGCAUAAGCUAGCUUGACUGCGAGCGUGACGGCGCGAGCAGGUGCGAAAGCAGGUCAUAGUGAUCCGGUGGUUCUGAAUGGAAGGGCCAUCGCUCAACGGAUAAAAGGUACUCCGGGGAUAACAGGCUGAUACCGCCCAAGAGUUCAUAUCGACGGCGGUGUUUGGCACCUCGAUGUCGGCUCAUCACAUCCUGGGGCUGAAGUAGGUCCCAAGGGUAUGGCUGUUCGCCAUUUAAAGUGGUACGCGAGCUGGGUUUAGAACGUCGUGAGACAGUUCGGUCCCUAUCUGCCGUGGGCGCUGGAGAAUUGAGGGGGGCUGCUCCUAGUACGAGAGGACCGGAGUGGACGCAUCACUGGUGUUCGGGUUGUCAUGCCAAUGGCAUUGCCCGGUAGCUAAAUGCGGAAGAGAUAAGUGCUGAAAGCAUCUAAGCACGAAACUUGCCCCGAGAUGAGUUCUCCCUGAGACUUUAAGUCUCCUGAAGGAACGUUAAAGACGAUGACGUUGAUAGGUCGGGUGUGUAAGCGUAGCGAUACGUUGAGCUAACCGAUACUAAUGAACCGUGAGGCUUAACCUU